UACGUAGGGGGCUAGCGUUAUCCGGAAUUACUGGGCGUAAAGGGUGCGUAGGCGGUCUUUCAAGCCAGAAGUGAAAGGCUACGGCUCAACCGUAGUAAGCUUUUGGAACUGUAAGACUUGAGUGCAGGAGAGGAGAGUGGAAUUCCUAGUGUAGCGGUGAAAUGCGUAGAUAUUAGGAGGAACACCAGUUGCGAAGGCGGCUCUCUGGACUGUAACUGACACUGAGGCACGAAAGCGUGGGGAGCAAACAGGAUUAGAUACCCGCGUAGUCCCU
rnacentral:rRNA from 1 species